rnacentral:lncRNA from 1 species
CUUAAUCACUAUGACUCUACAUGUUCUCCACUCAGAAUUCAUAUAGCUAUGAAGAUGCUGUAAGGAAACAAAUCAUGAUGGGCACAAAUGCAUAACAGCCAUAGCCUUUUACCUACAAGAAUUUGCAUGUACUGGUUUAAGGAAAGCCCGUCACCGUAAUCACAAAGUGGUCUGGCAAGACUGUUCUGCCUUAAGGUCCUGGUCUGAAAGGAGUAAAAGCAUCAGACUUUAAUAUAUCUACUAGGUAGAAGACUGCUUUGGGUGAAAGCUAUGUUUUUCUGUUCUCAUAACAACAGAACACUCAACAACAUGCAACUUAAGGGAAGAUGGGCUUGUUUGGACUCAGUAUCAUGUCACAGAAGAACUGGCAGCAUAUCAACAUGCUCUCUCUGUGUGUUGUAGCUUGCUAACAUCUCAGCAGACUGAGAAGCAGAGACUUUGGGUAGAGCCAGCACCCUGCAUCCCAUAGGCCUGUCCAAUGCCCACUGUUGGGGCCUCACAGCCUACCAAGGUGGGUACCAGUUCAUUUGGGACUUCAGAUCUUGUGACAAGCUAUCAAGAAAGGAGGCCAGAUGUGCUGCCUAAGCCAUUGAUUUUUAUCCUUGCUAAAUUCAGACCCCUGUUUUGUAGGUGAGAUGCUAACACCGGGAUGUUGGAUAAAUGUUCAAUGUACUUUGGCCUAAUUCAAGACUGAAACUGUUGGAACUUGUGUUAUCUCCUCAUGGACCCAGAUCAGCAUUUUAACUGUCUUUCCAAGAAGAUAAGGCUUAAAGUAAGCAAUCGCCACGUUAAAGUCAUUCUAGACAUAAAAAGAAAACUAAUCUACAAAUGAGAUUGUAAUAAUUAGAGCUGGAGAAUAUCUCCCAGUAGUCUACAAUCUUAACUAAUCAAAUUUAUUCAUUUUCCCUUCUCCUUAUUAGUUUUUACCCACAUGAGUACAUACUUUUUAUUUAGUUAUGAUCACAGCACUGAUUCAAAUUACUACACAAGAUCUACUGUAAGAGAAAAUAGAAAGUUUAUGUCUUACUACCAAAAUUGGAAUUAAACAAAUUUAUUAAAGAAUAUGCUACCAGCCUCCUAUUCAUUUUUUUAUUAUAAGACUAUUUUUUAUUUUAGAGGCACUCAUAUUUACAUAUCUAUCCCCCAUUUCCUUGCCCUCUCAUACUCCCAUGUUCCCCAUCAACCCCCCAAUCCACCCCUAACUCC